rnacentral:rRNA from 1 species
CCUACGGGAGGCUGCAGUGGGGAAUAUUGCACAAUGGGGGAAACCCUGAUGCAGCGACGCCGCGUGAGUGAAGAAGUAUUUCGGUAUGUAAAGCUCUAUCAGCAGGGAAGAAAUAAAGUCCUUCGGACUUUGGACGGUACCUGACUAAGAAGCCCCGGCUAACUACGUGCCAGCAGCCGCGGUAACCAGUAGGGGGCAAGAGUUAUCCGGAUUUACUGGGUGCAAAGGGAGCGUAGACGGCAGCUCAAGUCUGAAGUGAAAUACCAUGGCUUAACAAUGGAACUGCUUUGGAAACUGUGCAGCUGGAGUGCAGGAGAGGUAAGCGGAAUUACUAGUGUAGCGGUGAAAUGCGUAGAUAUUAGGAGGAACAACAGUGGCGAAGGCGGCUUACUGGACUGUAACUGACGUGGAGGCUCGAAAGCGUGGGGAGCAAACAGGAUUAGAUACCCGGGUAGUC